GUGCUCGCUUUGGCAACAGAUAUACUAAAAUUGGAACGAUAAAGAGAUCAGCAUGGCCCCUGCUCAAGGACGACACGCAAUUUUGUGAAGCGCUCCAUAUUUUU
rnacentral:snRNA from 1 species